AGAGCAGAUAUAAUUUAUUCGGGGAAUACUUUUGGAUAACUGCGGUAAUUCUGGAGCUAAUACAUGCAUCAAAACCCCAACUUCGGAAGGGGUGCAGUUAUUAGAACAAAUCAAUCGUCCUUGGACGUGGUUUGUUGACUCUGAAUAACGCAGCAUAUCGGCGGCUAGUCCGCCGAUAUCUCGAGAAAGUGUCUGCCCUAUCAACCUGAUGGUAGUCUAUUAGUCUACCAUGGUUAUCACGGGUAACGGAGAAUAAGGGUUCGACUCCGGAGAGGGAGCCUUAGAAACGGCUACCACAUCCAAGGAAGGCAGCAGGCGCGUAACUUAUCCACUCCUAAUUGGUGAGAUAGUGACUAAAAAUAAAAAGACCAUUCCUAUGGAACGGUUAUUUCAAUGAGUAGAUCUUAAAUCUAUCUUCGAGUAUCUAGUGGAGGGCAAGUCUGGUGCCAGCAGCCGCGGUAAUUCCAGCAAA
rnacentral:rRNA from 1 species